AUACUUACCUACCUGCGAAACUGGCAGUUCAAGAUUUGUUGGUUUCAUUACAGGCUCGCUGCAUUGUACUGCGUGGUUGGAGCUUGAAGUCGGAGUGCUUCGGUGCUACUGGCGGGUUAUUUUUUGGCCGUUGAUUCUUUUUCAUCAU
rnacentral:snRNA from 12 species